UUAAGUUAUUAAGGGCGCACGGUGGAUGCCUUGGCACUAGAAGCCGAUGAAGGACGUUACUAACGACGAUAUGCUUUGGGGAGCUGUAAGUAAGCUUUGAUCCAGAGAUUUCCGAAUGGGGAAACCCAGCAUGAGUUAUGUCAUGUUAUCGAUAUGUGAAUACAUAGCAUAUCAGAAGGCACACCCGGAGAACUGAAACAUCUUAGUACCCGGAGGAAGAGAAAGAAAAUUCGAUUCCCUUAGUAGCGGCGAGCGAAACGGGAAGAGCCCAAACCAACAAGCUUGCUUGUUGGGGUUGUAGGACACUCUAUACGGAGUUACAAAGGACGACAUUAGACGAAUCAUCUGGAAAGAUGAAUCAAAGAAGGUAAUAAUCCUGUAGUCGAAAAUGUUGUCUCUCUUGAGUGGAUCCUGAGUACGACGGAGCACGUGAAAUUCCGUCGGAAUCUGGGAGGACCAUCUCCUAAGGCUAAAUACUCUCUAGUGACCGAUAGUGAACCAGUACCGUGAGGGAAAGGUGAAAAGCACCCCGGAAGGGGAGUGAAAUAGAACCUGAAACCGUGUGCUUACAAGUAGUCAGAGCCUGUUAAUGGGUGAUGGCGUGCCUUUUGUAGAAUGAACCGGCGAGUUACGAUUUGAUGCAAGGUUAAGCAGUAAAUGUGGAGCCGUAGCGAAAGCGAGUCUGAAUAGGGCGUUUAGUAUUUGGUCGUAGACCCGAAACCAGGUGAUCUACCCUUGGUCAGGUUGAAGUUCAGGUAACACUGAAUGGAGGACCGAACCGACUUACGUUGAAAAGUGAGCGGAUGAACUGAGGGUAGCGGAGAAAUUCCAAUCGAACCUGGAGAUAGCUGGUUCUCUCCGAAAUAGCUUUAGGGCUAGCCUCAAGUGAUGAUUAUUGGAGGUAGAGCACUGUUUGGACGAGGGGCCCCUCUCGGGUUACCGAAUUCAGACAAACUCCGAAUGCCAAUUAAUUUAACUUGGGAGUCAGAACAUGGGUGAUAAGGUCCGUGUUCGAAAGGGAAACAGCCCAGACCACCAGCUAAGGUCCCAAAAUAUAUGUUAAGUGGAAAAGGAUGUGGCGUUGCCCAGACAACUAGGAUGUUGGCUUAGAAGCAGCCAUCAUUUAAAGAGUGCGUAAUAGCUCACUAGUCGAGUGACACUGCGCCGAAAAUGUACCGGGGCUAAACAUAUUACCGAAGCUGUGGAUUGUCCUUUGGACAAUGGUAGGAGAGCGUUCUAAGGGCGUUGAAGCAUGAUCGUAAGGACAUGUGGAGCGCUUAGAAGUGAGAAUGCCGGUGUGAGUAGCGAAAGACGGGUGAGAAUCCCGUCCACCGAUUGACUAAGGUUUCCAGAGGAAGGCUCGUCCGCUCUGGGUUAGUCGGGUCCUAAGCUGAGGCCGACAGGCGUAGGCGAUGGAUAACAGGUUGAUAUUCCUGUACCACCUAUAAUCGUUUUAAUCGAUGGGGGGACGCAGUAGGAUAGGCGAAGCGUGCGAUUGGAUUGCACGUCUAAGCAGUAAGGCUGAGUAUUAGGCAAAUCCGGUACUCGUUAAGGCUGAGCUGUGAUGGGGAGAAGACAUUGUGUCUUCGAGUCGUUGAUUUCACACUGCCGAGAAAAGCCUCUAGAUAGAAAAUAGGUGCCCGUACCGCAAACCGACACAGGUAGUCAAGAUGAGAAUUCUAAGGUGAGCGAGCGAACUCUCGUUAAGGAACUCGGCAAAAUGACCCCGUAACUUCGGGAGAAGGGGUGCUCUUUAGGGUUAACGCCCAGAAGAGCCGCAGUGAAUAGGCCCAAGCGACUGUUUAUCAAAAACACAGGUCUCUGCUAAACCGUAAGGUGAUGUAUAGGGGCUGACGCCUGCCCGGUGCUGGAAGGUUAAGAGGAGUGGUUAGCUUCUGCGAAGCUACGAAUCGAAGCCCCAGUAAACGGCGGCCGUAACUAUAACGGUCCUAAGGUAGCGAAAUUCCUUGUCGGGUAAGUUCCGACCCGCACGAAAGGCGUAACGAUUUGGGCACUGUCUCAACGAGAGACUCGGUGAAAUCAUAGUACCUGUGAAGAUGCAGGUUACCCGCGACAGGACGGAAAGACCCCGUGGAGCUUUACUGUAGCCUGAUAUUGAAAUUCGGCACAGCUUGUACAGGAUAGGUAGGAGCCUUUGAAACGUGAGCGCUAGCUUACGUGGAGGCGCUGGUGGGAUACUACCCUAGCUGUGUUGGCUUUCUAACCCGCACCACUUAUCGUGGUGGGAGACAGUGUCAGGCGGGCAGUUUGACUGGGGCGGUCGCCUCCUAAAAGGUAACGGAGGCGCUCAAAGGUUCCCUCAGAAUGGUUGGAAAUCAUUCAUAGAGUGUAAAGGCAUAAGGGAGCUUGACUGCGAGACCUACAAGUCGAGCAGGGUCGAAAGACGGACUUAGUGAUCCGGUGGUUCCGCAUGGAAGGGCCAUCGCUCAACGGAUAAAAGCUACCCCGGGGAUAACAGGCUUAUCUCCCCCAAGAGUUCACAUCGACGGGGAGGUUUGGCACCUCGAUGUCGGCUCAUCGCAUCCUGGGGCUGUAGUCGGUCCCAAGGGUUGGGCUGUUCGCCCAUUAAAGCGGUACGCGAGCUGGGUUCAGAACGUCGUGAGACAGUUCGGUCCCUAUCCGUCGUGGGCGUAGGAAAUUUGAGAGGAGCUGUCCUUAGUACGAGAGGACCGGGAUGGACAUACCUCUGGUGUACCAGUUGUCGUGCCAACGGCAUAGCUGGGUAGCUAUGUGUGGACGGGAUAAGUGCUGAAAGCAUCUAAGCAUGAAGCCCCCCUCAAGAUGAGAUUUCCCAACUUCGGUUAUAAGAUCCCUCAAAGAUGAUGAGGUUAAUAGGUUCGAGGUGGAAGCAUGGUGACAUGUGGAGCUGACGAAUACUAAUCGAUCGAAGACUUAAUCAA
rnacentral:rRNA from 1 species